rnacentral:rRNA from 1 species
AUUGAACGCUGGCGGCAGGCCUAACACAUGCAAGUCGAGCGAGCGGCGGACGGGUGAGUAAUGUCUGGGAAACUGCCUGAUGUAGGGGGAUAACUACUGGAAACGGUGGCUAAUACCGCAUACCAUCAGAUGUGCCCCGGUGGGCUUAGCUAGUAGGGGGGGUAAAGGGUCACCUAGGCGACGAGCCCUCGCUGGUCUGAGAGGGUUACCAGCCACACUGGAACUGGGAAACGGGCCAGACUCCUACGGGAGGCAGCAGUGGGGAAUAUUGCACAAGGGGCGCAAGCCUGAUGCAGCCAGGCCGCGUGUGUGAAGAAGGCCUUCGGGUUGUAAAGCACUUUCAGCGGGGAGGCGUUACCCGCAGAAGAAGCACCGGCUAACUCCGUGCCAGCAGCCGCGGUAAUAC